CUGGCGGCGUGCCUAACACAUGCAAGUCGAACGCGAAAGCUCCGCAAGGGGCAAGUAGAGUGGCGAACGGGUGAGUAACGCGUGGGUGACCUGCCUUCGAGUGGGGGAUAACGUUCCGAAAGGGACGCUAAUACCGCAUGACAUCCUGCUUUUGAAGAGGUGGACAUCAAAGCCGGGGAUCGCAAGACCUGGCGCUCGAAGAGGGGCCCGCGUCCGAUUAGCUAGUUGGUGGGGUAAUGGCUCACCAAGGCAACGAUCGGUAGCCGGCCUGAGAGGGCGGACGGCCACACUGGGACUGAGACACGGCCCAGACUCCUACGGGAGGCAGCAGUGGGGAAUUGUUCGCAAUGGGCGCAAGCCUGACGACGCAACGCCGCGUGGAGGAUGAAGAUCUUCGGGUCGUAAACUCCUUUCGAUCGAGACGAACGGCCUCCGGGUGAAUAAUCUGGGGGAGUGACGGUACCGAGAGAAGAAGCCCCGGCUAACUCCGUGCCAGCAGCCGCGGUAAUAC
rnacentral:rRNA from 1 species